rnacentral:rRNA from 1 species
GACGAACGCUGGCGGCGUGCUUAACACAUGCAAGUCGAACGGAAAGGCCCAGCUUGCUGGGUGCUCGAGUGGCGAACGGGUGAGUAACACGUGGGUGAUCUGCCUCUAACUUCGGGAUAAGCUUGGGAAACUGGGUCUAAUACCGGAUAGGACAAUCGUUUAGUGUCGGUUGUGGAAAGUUUUUUCGGUUAGGGAUGAGCCCGCGGCCUAUCAGCUUGUUGGUGGGGUAGUGGCUUACCAAGGCUUUGACGGGUAGCCGGCCUGAGAGGGUGACCGGCCACAUUGGGACUGAGAUACGGCCCAGACUCCUACGGGAGGCAGCAGUGGGGAAUAUUGCACAAUGGGCGGAAGCCUGAUGCAGCAACGCCGCGUGCGGGAUGACGGCCUUCGGGUUGUAAACCGCUUUCGCCUGUGACGAAGCGUGAGUGACGGUAAUGGGUAAAGAAGCACCGGCUAACUACGUG